rnacentral:lncRNA from 1 species
GGCGGGAGAGGGUGAGAUUUAAUGCGGGACAAGAAAGAGUCAGUUUUUAUUUAUGAAUUAAAUUAGGGGUGGGCAAAAAACCCAAACCGAACCGAUCCAAACCAAACCAACCGAAGUUAAACCGAACCAAACCAAUAAUCCAAUAUAUAUAUAUUAACAUAUUGUAAAUUUUAGUUAAAUUUUCGUUUUCCGUUUUUUCUUAACUUCCAUAUAUUUUUUAAAAAAUCCAAAUAUGAUUCAAAUAAUCCUAAUACUUAAAUAUUGUACUGAAAACAAAACCUAAAAACUAUAAGCAUCUCAAUCAUAGUCAUUUCGUUUCGUUCAUCUUCUCCAAUUUUCAUUCUCUAAAUUAUGUAAUAAAGUUAUUAUAGAAUCAAUAAAAACAAAAAGGUAGAUGCAAAUAGUCUUUUAAUUAAUAGGUUUUAGAAUACUUACAAGUCUUUGUUACGCUAAUUAGAUUACAAAUAGUCUGCUUAUUGCUUAUUAUGUAUUUUUUCCUUUAACGUGGUUAGGAGUUUUGUCAUCGAGCUUUAAAUUGUUUUUUGUUUCUUAUAUUUUUAAAGAACCAAACUAAAUCUAAACCAAACCGAACUAAACUGAACCCAAACCGAACCCAAACCAAAGCUACUUUGGUUUUAAUUGGGUUGAGUUUUAUAAAACCCAAAUUAACUAAACCAAGCCGAACCCAAACC